AGAGAGAUCCAGGAGGUUCGCUCCCUUGCUUUCCACUCUUCCUCUUCUUUUCCUCCUCCUCCUCUUUCUCUUCUCCUGGCAGCUCCAUCCUCGUGUCCACUGAGGGACGGCACUUGAUGAACCCAGCAGGGACUGUUCUGGGGUGGAGUGGACAGUGAGUAGCUGAAAGGCAGAGGGGUGCCAUGUGAGGAGCCCCAGUGUAGCCUGUGGCAGCCGGCAGCAGCAGCAACAGCAGCAGUAGAAAGAGUGGGCUCUCCUGUCAUUCUCCCCGCAGGAACGGGCAUGGAAUUUACCUCCUCUGGCCACUUCUGAAAAGGAAACUCGCACCUCCCUAGCAUUUCUGGCUGGGGAAUGAUAUCCUAGCAGACCGGAUUUUGUACGCUUUCAAAGGAAAUUGAAUUUGAAAUCGGUCUCUGGGCAACCGUUUACAGUAUUUUUUCCAAAGAAUCUGGAGAGCCACAGUUCCAUCACCAUGAGGAGAGGCACAACGGGAGAUUUUGGAUCAAGGACGUGCCAGUCACCCUGAAGAGCAGAGUGGGACUACACUUUACGCUUGUGCAAAAAAGUCAUCGCACUCUUCCUCAGAGAACUCAUAUCGUUAACACACAUUCAAAGAACUGGAGAACAAGAGAUGUGUGCAGGACACUUGGAAUAUCUCGUCUUCUUGGAAUCGGUUGCCUUUUCCCACCAAUUGUCCUAAAAGAUAGAUUAACAAAGCUGGAUUUUGUCCAUUCUGUCCAUUUGAAAGCAAAAUCUUUUCUGAAGAAUAGAGCCUUUCCUUCUUUGGUCUGGAUUUUGUGUGGGUGUUCAAAGCGUACCACCACACGGGAUGACAAUCGUAGUGCCUCUUCCUUUUCAGUAGUCUCCUACAACUGAAUAUGAUCUUCUGGUGCACCUACACAUGCAAUAGGCGAAAAGUAUUCCACGGUCAACAGCAAGUAAUUUUAGUUCAGAUGUACCCAUAAAGGCAUAAAGGCACAAAGUCACAAAGACAUCAUGUAAUGACCCAUGAGACAUGUACCGGUCCAUUACCCUUGAUUAUUCUUAGUUUCACCGUUCCUGGAUCCACCACCUUUUUUGGUUUUCUUGGAUUUAAACUCUUCGAUGACUCCCGCACCUUCCCUUGUGCCCACUUCUUCCUCCAGACAUCCCACAGUGACCUGCGGGAGGAGGCUUGCCCCCAGGCCCCACCAGCUCUCCUGGCUGCCCGGGUGUUUUUAAGAUGUUGAAGCCUGCCCGAGCGGCCCGAGCCCGAGAUCGGAUCAGUAGCACUGCGGCUCC